UUAUGAAGUAAUAAAUACAUUUAAUUUCGGCUUAAAAAAAAACUUUUUGUUCAUAAU
rnacentral:tRNA from 1 species